GAGGGCCUGGCCGACUGGCAAGGCAGAUGGCUUCCACCCACCCGAUGCGGGUUCGAUUCCCGCGGCCCUCU
rnacentral:tRNA from 1 species